rnacentral:rRNA from 1 species
UACGGAGGGGGCUAGCGUUGUUCGGAAUUACUGGGCGUAAAGCGCACGUAGGCGGCUUUGUAAGUUAGAGGUGAAAGCCCAGGGCUUAACUCUGGAAUUGCCUUUAAGACUGCAUCGCUAGAAUCGUGGAGAGGUGAGUGGAAUUCCGAGUGUAGAGGUGAAAUUCGUAGAUAUUCGGAAGAACAUCAGUGGCGAAGGCGACUCACUGGACACGUAUUGACGCUGAGGUGCGAAAGCGUGGGGAGCAAACAGG